rnacentral:rRNA from 1 species
UUUGACCUCAAAUCAGGCAAGACUACCCGCUGAACUUAA